rnacentral:rRNA from 1 species
CGAGAAACCUGGUUGAUCCUGCCAGUAGUCAUAUGCUUGUCUCAAAGAUUAAGCCAUGCAUGUCUCAGUAUCAGCAUUAUCAUCGCUAAACUGCGAAUGGCUCAUUAAAACAGUUAUAGUUUACUUGGUGAUCGAUGGUUAUACGGUUUAUAACUGUGCUAAUUGUAGAGCUAAUACGUGCUAAAAGACCUGACGCAAGAAAGGUCGUAUUUAUUAGAUACAGAACCAAUUCCUUCGGGAUUUCGGAUGAUUCAUGAUAAACGAACGGAGCGUGAGGCAUGAGCCGACGCUGUGCCAUUCAAGUUUCUGACCUAUCAGCUUCCGACGGUAGGGUAUUGGCCUACCGUGGCUUUGACGGGUAACGGAGAAUUAGGGUUCGAUUCCGGAGAGGGAGCCCGAGAAACGGCUACCACAUCUAAGGAAGGCAGCAGGCGCGCAAAUUACCCAAUCCCAACGCGGGGAGGUAGUGACAAGAAAUAACAACAACUAACCUAUUUCAGGUGAGUUGAUUGGAAUGAGUACAAUCUAAACACCUUAACGACUAUCCAUUGGAGGGCAAGCCUGGUGCCAGCAGCCGCGGUAAUUCCAGCUCCAAUAGCGUAUACUAAUGUUGUUGCAGUUAAAAAGCUCGUAGUCGGAUUUCAGUAGGCUCAGUUAAGUCUCUUCUAUUGAGUUCUUUAUGGGCCUGCUUCUUUGACAGAAACUUCUAUGUUAUUCAUUUAGCGUGGGUAGCGACUGUCUCUUUUACUUUGAGAAAAUUAGAGUGUUCAAAGCAGGUAUUCGCCUGAAUAUUACUCUUGGAAUAAUGCUAUAAGACUUUGGUUCUAAUGUAUUGGUGAUUGGGACCAGAGUAAUGAUUGAUAGGGACGGUUGGGGUCUUACGUACUGCAAAGCGAGAGGUGAAAUUCUUGGACCUUUGUAUGACGAACAACUGCGAAAGCAUUGGACUAGGACGUUCCCGUUGAUCAAGAACGAAAGUUGGGGGAUCGAAGACGAUCAGAUACCGUCGUAGUCUCAACCAUAAACUAUGCCAGCUAGGGAUCGGAGGACGUUACAUGUUCGACUCCUUCGGCACCUUAUGAGAAAUCAAAGCAUUUGGGUUCCGGGGGGAGUAUGGUCGCAAGGCUGAAACUUAAAGGAAUUGACGGGAGGGCACCACCAGGAGUGGAGCCUGUGGCUUAAUUUGACUCAACACGGGAAAACUUACCAGGUCCGGACAUAGUAAGGAUUGACAGAUUGAAAGCUCUUUCUUGAUUCUAUGGGUGGUGGUGCAUGGCCGUUCUUAGUUGGUGGAGUGAUUUGUCUGGUUAAUUCCGUUAACGAACGAGACCUCAGCCUGCUAAAUAGUGUCAUUUUCUUCGGAAGAUGUGCACUUCUUAGAGGGACUACUUGUGAAACAACCAAGCGGAAGCUUGAGGCAAUAACAGGUCUGUGAUGCCCUUAGAUGUUCUGGGCCGCACAUGGGCUACACUGGUGCAUUCAACAAGCAUAAUCACCUUAACCGAAGGGUUUGGGUAAUCUUUGAAAUUGCACCGUGCUUGGGAUAGACUAUUGCAAUUUUUAGUCUUCAACGAGGAAUUCCUAGUAAACGCAAGUCAUCAGCUUGCAUUGAUUACGUCCCUGCCCUUUGUACACACCGCCCGUCGCUCCUACCGAUUGGAUGAUUCGGUAAGCUUUUGGGAUUGAUUACGUAUUUGUCAUUGACAUUGCGUUUUAACAACUUAAUCAAACCUAAUCAUCUAGAGGAAGGAGAAGUCGUAACAAGGUUUCCGUAGGUGAACCUGCGGAAGGAUCAUUGACAAA